rnacentral:lncRNA from 1 species
GGUGUUUCGUCAAUAUGCAACGGAGUUGCAUGUUGAGCUCCAUUUAAUUUGUAGGAUUGUUUGUGCAUUUUGCCAUGCCAUGCUUCAUUAAACCGGACAUGCAUCAUAGUUGAUUGUGCAUCAUGCCAUGUUCAUGUUGUGGUUGUUUACUAUGUUAUUUUCUCCUUUCCGGUGUUGCUUCUUCGGGUUGGUUCCGAUAACAUCGCGUUUUUGAGGAUCCGUUCGUCAACGUCUGUUUGUCUUCUUCAUGGACUCGUUCUUCUUCCUUGCGGGAUCUCAGGCAAGAUGACCAUACUCUCGAAAUCACUUCUAUCUUUACUUGCUAGAUGCUCGCUCUUUUGAUAUGCCUAUGCUGCGAUACCUACCACAUGCUUUACCAUGCCUCCCGUAUUGCUAAGCCAGGCCUCUAACCCACCUUGUCGUAGCAAACCGUUGUUUGGCUAUAUUACCGCUUUGCUCAGCCCCUCUUAUAGCGUUGCUAGUUGCAGGUGAAGAUUGGAGUUUGUUCCUUGUUUGGAACAUGGAUAUUUUGUUGGGAUAUCACAAUAUCUCUUAUUUAAUUAAUGCAUCUAUACACUUGGUAAAGGGUGGAAGGCUCGGCCUUAUGCCUGGUGUUUUCUUCCACUCUUGCUGCCCUAGUUUCCGUCAUAUCAGUGUUAUGUUCCCGGAUUUUGCGUUCCUUACAUGGUUGGGUUAUAAUGGGAACCCCUUGACAGUUCGACUUGAAUAAAACUCCUCUAGCAAUGCCCAACAUUGGUUUUACCAUUCGCCACCUAGCCUAUUUUUUCGUUGGGUUCUGCAGACUCAAGGGUCAUCUUUAUUUUAACCCCCCCACCCCGGGGCCAGUGCUUCUCUAAGUGUUGGUCCGAACUAAGCUGCCUGCGGGGCCACCUAGGGGAAACUUGAGGGUUGGUUUUACUCGUAGCUAGUCUCAUCUGAGUGUGCCCUGAGAACGAGAUAUGUGCAGCUCCUAUCGGGAUUUGUCGGCACAUUCGAGCGAUGUUGCUGGACUUGUUUUACCAUUGUCGAGGAUGUCUUAUAACCGGGAUGCCGAGUCUGAUUGGAUUGUCUUGGGAGAAGGAAUAUCCUUCGUUGACCGUGAGAGCUUGUGGUGGGCUAAGUUGGGACACCCCUGUAGGGAUUUGAACUUUUGAAAGCCGUGCCCGCGGUUAUGGGCAGAUGAGAAUUUUUUAAUGUCCGGUUGUAGAAAACCUAAAGUUUAUUUUAAUUAAAAUACAUCAACCGCGUGUGUAACCGUGAUGGUCUCUUCUCGGCGGAGUCCGGGAAAUGAACACGGCGUUGGAGUUAUGUUUGCCGUAGGUUGUUCUAGGAUCACUUCUUGAUCAUAGUUUCUCGACCGUGCUUUGCCUUCUCUUCUCGCUCUCAUUUGCGUAUGUUAGCCACCAUAUAUGCUAGUCGCUUGCUGCAGCUCCACCUCAUACAUUUUACCUUUCCUAUAAGCUUAAAUAGUCUUGAUCGCGAGGGUGUGAGAUUGGUGAGUCCCUGUGACUCACAGAUACUUCCAAAACCAGCUUGCAGGUGCCGAUGAUACCGUGCAGGUGACGCAACGGAGCUCAAGGAGGAGCUCGAUGAAGAUCGUGUUCGUUAUGUUGUUCCGUUUCAGUUGAUCAGUAGUGGAGCCCAGUCGGGACGAUCGGGGAUCUGUGUAGCAUUUGGGGUAGUCUUCUUUUAUUUUGGUUCCAUAGUCGGACCUUGUGUGUAUCUGGAUGAUGUAAUGUUUUAUUCAUGUAUUGUGUGAAGUGGCGAUUGUAAGCCAACUAUGUAUCUCUUUCCCUUAUGUAUUACAUGGGUAGUAUGAAGAUUACCUCACUUGCGACAUUGCUUUCAAUGCGGUUAUGCCUCUAAGUCGUGUUUCGACACGUGGAAGAUAUAGCCGCAUCGAGGGCGUUACAAGUUGGUAUCAGAGCC